AGAACGAACGCUGGCGGCAGGCUUAACACAUGCAAGUCGAACGCUCGUAGCAAUACGGGAGUGGCAGACGGGUGAGUAACGCGUGGGAACAUACCCUCCGGUUCGGAAUAGCUCAGGGAAACUUGGAUUAAUACCGGAUACGGCUGAGAGGCGAAAGAUUUAUCGCCGGAGGAUUGGCCCGCGUUCGAUUAGCUUGUUGGUGAGGUAACGGCUCACCAAGGCGAUGAUCGAUAGCUGGUCUGAGAGGAUGAUCAGCCACAUUGGGACUGAGACACGGCCCAAACUCCUACGGGAGGCAGCAGUAAGGAAUCUUCCACAAUGGACGAAAGUCUGAUGGAGCAACGCCGCGUGCAGGAAGACGGUCUUCGGAUUGUAAACUGCUUUUAUUUGGGAAGAUUAUGACGGUACCAAAUGAAAUAAGGACCGGCUAACUACGUGCCAGCAGCCGC
rnacentral:rRNA from 1 species